AAGUCGUAACAAGGUUUCCGUAGGUGAACCUGCGGAAGGAUCAUUAGUGAAUAAUAGGACGUCUUCUCUUUGAAGGAGAGUCCGACCUCUCACUUUCUAACACUGUGCACUUAGAUAUUUGGGAAUCAAGCUUUGAAUAGAAUUUUUUGUUCUAUUUCUAUAGCUCCCAAUUACUUUUUAUAACUCUACAAGUCAAAGAAUGUAAUGAUAAACCAUAACAAAAGAAAAACUUUCAACAACGGAUCUCUUGGCUCUCGCAUCGAUGAAGAACGCAGCGAAAUGUGAUAAGUAAUGUGAAUUGCAGAAUUCAGUGAAUCAUCGAAUCUUUGAACGCACCUUGCGCUCCUUGGUAUUCCGAGGAGCAUGUCUGUUUGAGUGUCAUGAACUCUUCAACCCUCCAUUUCCUCGUUUGAAAUGUUUUGAGGUGAUUGGAUUUUGAGUACUUGCUCUUUUAUCAAAAUUAGCUUACUCGUAAUACAUUAGCACAAUUCAACUUCGAACUCGGAUUGACUCGGCGUAAUAGACUAUUCGCUGAGGACAUUGAGAAUUAAUUUUCUCUAAUGGCCGACUUUAGACGAUUUGAAUAGCUUCAAAUACUAUACACCUUUUUUAAGAUUAGACCUCAAAUCAGGCAGGAUUACCCGCUGAACUUAAGCAUAUCAAUAAGCGGAGGAAAAGAAACUAACAAGGAUUCCCCUAGUAACGGCGAGUGAAGCGGGAAGAGCUCAAAUUUGAAAUCUGGCACUUUCAGUGUCCGAGUUGUAAUCUCGAGAAGUGUUUUCCGCGCCAGACCGCAUACAAGUCUGUUGGAAUACAGCGUCAUAGUGGUGAGAACCCCGUACGUGAUGCGGAUGCCUGGUGCUUUGUGAUACACUUCCGAAGAGUCGAGUUGUUUGGGAAUGCAGCUCAAAUUGGGUGGUAAAUUCCAUCUAAAGCUAAAUAUUGGCGAGAGACCGAUAGCGAACAGGUACCGUGAGGGAAAGAUGAAAAGCACUUUGGAAAGAGAGUUAACAGUACGUGAAAUUGUUGGAAGGGAAACGCUUGAAGUCAGACUUGCUAUGUGGAGUUCAACCGCAAGGUGUAUUCUUCGCUUCGCAGGCCAGCAUCAGUUUUCGGGGGUGGAAAAGGGUAGAGAGAAGGUAGCUGUCUCGGCAGUGUUAUAGCUCUUUACUGGAUUCAUCCUUGGGGACUAAGGAACGCAGUACGCUUUUUGCAAGGCUCUCGGGCUUUUCCGUACUUAGGAUGCUGGUGGAAUGGCUUUAAACGACC
rnacentral:rRNA from 1 species